AUGGCGCCCAAGAUGGCAGACGAUUGCAUGGGGUUUAUUUUGAUAAACAGACAAUGAUGAUGAGCAAUCUGAGCGAUAAGCCGGUGUCAGAGGGCAGGUGCUUGAACUUCGACAAGGUCAACACAAGCUCAAGAUAAUUGGCCCACGUUUCGUUGUUGGGAUCCCUGUCUUUUGUGGCGACUCUUUCCGUGUGCAGCUCGGAGAAGUCUUGUGCAUCAUCGGAAACUCGGAAUAUUUGAAUGCUCAAAUAAAAACAGCUGUGCCAACUCGGAAAUGGUUUUUGGGGAUCAACAACCAUCCAGGUUACCAACCAGGCCCUCUAACACACCUGACACACACACAUACACGUCUGGAGAUCCGGUAAUUAAAAACACUUACUUCCUUACAACAGAAAUUCGAACGACAAACACUUUUUGAAAUCAUCGAGACCUAUCUACAAAAAGUCUUAUUUUUGAUCAAAUCCGAGGAAUCUAGGACAAGAGAUCUCUCGACAAGUAGCUCCCUUGACCCGAAACAAUUAAUUAGUCGUCCCAGGUCUCUAAUGCAAAAACUACCCUAAAACAUUGGCUUUUAAGGGGGAAAUUAUUAUUUUCCUUCGUAGGACUGUUUCUGGUUUUUAUAGAACAGGUUCUUUCGAUGAUCACUUCAGAACCGUUUACACUUAACGACUAUGUGGCUCAUUAACGUUUUGAACUUGGCCUUAAUAUCGUCUUACGAAGGGUGCUUCGGUUCGAAUUUAAGAACUUACACCGGCACGCUGAAGCAAAACAUCAAUGGGCCUGAUGCCAGAUGUCAUUGUGUACAGGUCAAAAGGGUUUUAUAUGAAAUUUGUUUGUUAACUAUUAUAUUUUUUGCACUUGAGAAACGCGCGCGAUUAUUGUCGCAGACAGUUGAUCGGGAAAACAGCGGAAAGAACAGAAAACAAUAGUGAAACAGCACGGAACGAAGCGCGCUGGUCGAGUGUGCAAUUGAAAA